AUGUCCCCUGUCAUUUUUGCCAGUGGUGGUGUCUCCAGCACCAAGGUGGUUGAGGAGAUGGUGUCUGGUGUUUCCAACAUACUUCAGAUGUACAUUAAUGGGAAGAGUGUUGAGCAGAGUGUUGUUCUCAGAGAGGAUGGUGUUGAGGUGGACAUGACACAUUUAACAGGACAGGUCAUGACAGCCCUCAGUGGCACUGUUUUGAACUUCAGCAAUAAGGAGAAAAAUGAACCCGACAAGAGGGAACUGCUUUGUGUUGUUGCUGACCAUAUGAAGAUGCUUGAAGCUUGUAAAAGUCCAGAGGAGAUGCUAAAACAAGGAGAGAGCAACCUCAAUAUCAAAGGUGCCAAAUCUAGUCUUCGUCUGUCAACACAAAGUAUGGACAGACUACUCACUGAGGAGUUUCAGACCAAGGCCAAUGAAUCGAUCCGGGAGAUCGUUAAAAGAUUCAGGGGUUGUACAUCAUGUUGUUCUGGCACUACAUCAUCUUGUCCAACUCCUAGGAUAGGUGAGAUCAGAGACCUUAUGGUUGACCCUGAGGCCUCUGAGUUGGUAAGUACCUUUGUUUCAGACAUGGACAAUCUUACCCAGUCUAUCAGGGCAUCCUGCUCCCCUGCACAGGGUGAGCAGAUCCUUCUUGAAAACCAUCAAAGUAAGAUCUGGUCUUACACUGUUGGUUGUUACUACGACAUGAAAAAUACGCUGAAGAGGAUUCUUACCUGUCCAGAAAAAGGGGAUCUCGCAAGUACAUUUGUGGGGAGCACAAAAUAUUCUUUCACAAUGGUUCCAACUUUGUGCCUGGACGUCGGUCAUUCCAGUAAUGGUGAGGCUGACACAUCAGACUCCAUUUCUUGUAAACCACUUUUAAUAACCCCCUCAUCUAUGAAUGAACAAAAAGGACAAAGUGAGACCCCAAAACCUCUCUUGGCUCUCAACAAGUAUUUGCAAGACCAAGUCCUCCUUGACACCACAAAAGCGAUUGCCAGCCAGGUUCUAGUCUUGUAUAAGACUGAGGUGAUGGAGAAGUUCUCAUCUUCUGUUGGAGAGUGUGAUUCUGAAGAGUCUCUGGAGGCCAUUCUAUUUGUGGAUGGCAUCAUGUCUGACUUGAACGAUUUCACCAGUUCUUGUUCCCCCUCACCAUCUGAGUUGUUAGACAGUGAACAAUGUCUCUCCCAUCUCACUUUUCCACUUGGUCUGCAGGACAGUACCACCAACAGUGAAUCUACCCAGAGUCUUCCAAUUAUAAAUAUGAAGAAACUCUCCGGUGUGUCUUUCCAGACAAAGGCUAGAAAGGCAGUGAGUGAAGAUCUGAGAUCUGUCAACCCCUUUACAAACAGCUUACUGGGAGACUCUGAAGCAUCUAAAUUGCUGGACACUUUUGUAACAGAUGUGGAGACUGUUGUUCAGUCCAUGCAGGCACAUGACUCUGAAAAUGUCCGAAUUUCAAAAGUGAGCACCCUUCAUGCUGCUCGUAUUAUAUAUCAUAGAUUUAGAGAAAUGCUGAGGCGGUUUCUCACUCCCUGCCAAGACUCUGUAAAGGUCAUCGAUGGUGUUACACCAAUACAUGAUGAGACUCUCAAACAGGCUCCUAGUGAAAGUUUAGAUUCUCAGGUGACUUGUAAUAGUGAUUCUCUUGAAAUCCAGGCAGACCUUCAAACCUGUACCAAGGAGGUCAUUAGUCAGAUCCUCACUGUGUAUCACUCUGCGGAAUCCAUGGAGAAAUGCCUCUCUAGCCUAAAAGGAGAUACAGAAGACCUGUCCAAGCUUUUGGAUGCCGUUGUUUCUCAGAUUGACGUCCUUGCCGCCUCCAAAUCAUAUUUAUCUGUUGAUGACUAUGCUGUCAAUACACAGGACAAUUUGCACAGUGAGAUCAACAAUGAUGAGGAGGAGGCAUCCUCUAGAAGUCUUAAAUCCACAGCCUUUGACAAACUAUGUACUGAGGAGUUUCAAACUAAAGCCUCACAUAUGGCUGGUGGGAUCCUUCAAUCAGGGUUAAUUGGCAUUGUAAAUACCAGCCUUGAUGGUAGAAGUGCAGACAUUUGUGCAGAGUCCAGUAAUGAUGGUGAUGAUAGAGAUGUCAAAAUCCUUCAGAAGAGUGGAACUCCACCUUUGUUCACCUCUUCUCUGCACACCAAUUCUGCAGCAUCCAACAUCGUCAUAAGCAUCACUAAAGACCUUAAUAGCUUCACCCAGAUGACUAAAAUGUCUGAUGCGUCAGUGUCUGGCCAGUUAGAGAGAUCCCUGUCAGCUUCAACCCUUCCUGUCAGUGUUCACAACGAGGCCAAUGUGAAAGGAAAGAUCAUUUGGCCAGGCACUGUUAACCUGUUCAACAAUGUGUUCACCAAGGUCAAGGACUUUUUUGCCCAGCAACAACCGGUCCUCCUAGACAAUGUGGUUGAGGCCCCCAAACAUGCCGAAUCCAUAUGCAGAACAGCUACUUCUACACAAAUGACUUACAGUGAACAUGAAGGCAGCCAGACCAGCAUGGUAAAUUAUUCCAAAGCCUUAAUUAGUCAGACUCUGAUGACAAUCCAGAGGAGAGUGUCUAUGUCAGAGAGGAUGAGCACCUCAGAGAAAGGCCUCUUGACUCGUUCCAUCGUGGGCUCCAUGUUGGAGGAUGUUGACAUGGUGAGAACUGAUAGUAGACACGAGAUACACCGGCCAUCCUCCUCAAAGUCCUCCCUGUCCAUCACCUCUGCCAUGACCAGAGGGUCCCAGAGUGAUUUUACAAAUUCUCUUCCAGGCACUCCAGUCCCCGAUGAGUGGCCUGUUGAAAUCUAUUGUCCUAUCAUUAGGAGUUCGGUCAUUGAUAUGAGUGACUCCUCAACUCAUUCACAAGGGUCAACAAAUGACACAAGGCAAACCAUCUCUGCCAUAGUUGACAUUGUUAUGGAGGUCAUUCCAAGAGAAGAUAUGGAACACAUAGCCACUGCAGAUGAUGUCACUUCUUUUACAAGAAGACUUGCGAGACUCAGCCCCAGGGACGGUCUUCAGAACUUCUCACAUGAGCUCACUGACAAAGUUUAUGAGCUCAUAAAGAGUCACAACACCCCCCAGGCUCUUUUUGUGCCAGCUGGCAAGACCGUGUCUGACUCUAUUCUUUUGAAGCUGAAGACAGGAUUGAAUGCUUCUGAAGAAUCCAGGGAGUUUCCAUCUGACCUUGUAUACUCCUUUGCUACGGAGUCAAUAAAACGUCUGCUACAGCAGAUUGUCUUCUGUCUUCCUCCACCAUCACAAGGAUCCGAUUUCUGCCAAACUAUCAUCUCUGAUGGUUGUCUGCAGGACACAAGUCGGCUUAUCCCGAGCUCUUCUGCCAUCUCCAUUAGUUCCUCACAGGUUUACUGUGACACAAAGAGCCUUUUCACCAAUAUAAUGGUCAAUCAGGUCAUGGAUACCUGUUCUGUGGCCUCCAAUUCAUCAGAAGAAUUAUCAGAGUUGAUGAACAUAAUCAAUGGGUUGUCCCCAACUGAUGCUGGAACACUUGACUCUAACAGACCGGCUCUCAUGACCACUAGCCGUCAGUCUAGUGCCAAAUCAUUGCCUAGACCAUCUCUGUCUGGCAGCAGCACACACAACGGUGGAACUGUGGAUAUUCAAGUUUUAGGAGAGGUGGAAUCCAAGAUGGACAACAAAGAUCUGGAGAUGUCUAGUGCCUCUGUGCAUCCAUCAACUCCAUCAGCCAUGGACUCUGAUACACAUGCAUCAUUUGACUCCACUAGCAAUGACUACACCUCUUUGGUACUUUUACUGAUUGUUAGACUGCUGUCAAUGAUCACCCCUAUCACAUUACUGGAAUCCUCUGACAUUGGUGAAACAUCAAGAGUUCUCACAAAGAGGAUUCUGUCUGAGUUCUGUGGCACCUCAGGCCUUGAACCAACUCAAGCCUACCCCCAGAAUCUGAAAAUAAAAAAGAUUUUCAAGGCUGUCUACAAGGGGCUUCUUCAAGAAUUUGGGUCAGAGAAGAUGCUCCAGGUUGCAAUGAAGUCAACGGAUUAUGCAUUUGACGAUGCCCUGGUCAAAUCAUUAACUAGGGAACUACUAACGAAAUGCAAUGAGGCUAGCUCUUCACCUCCCUCCAUGACCCAGUUGUCAUCACGCAAUGCACUUGGCAGUGACGAGGUAGGUAAUUCUGGGCUUCCAAAAACUGGUAGAAAGGAAAAGAAGAGAGGAAGAUUCAGCACUCUCUGUGGACUCAACCCAAAGGUACAUAUGUCAUCAAAAUACACAUUUUUAAGAUUAUUUUUUAUUCAUUACGUACAGUAUGAUGGUAAACACUGUUACCCUUUGUGUGCAAUUUCUCCUACUGUAUAA
ensembl:lncRNA